rnacentral:rRNA from 1 species
UACGUAGGGUGCGAGCGUUAAUCGGAAUUACUGGGCGUAAAGCGUGCGCAGGCGGUUUUGUAAGCCAGAUGUGAAAGCCCCGGGCUUAACCUGGGAAUGGCAUUUGGGACUGCAAGGCUUGAGUGCGGCAGAGGAGACUGGAAUUCCUGGUGUAGCAGUGAAAUGCGUAAAUAUCAGGAGGAAUACCGAUGGCGAAGGCAGGUCUCUGGGCUGACACUGACGCUCAUGCACGAAAGCGUGGGGAGCGAACAGG